UACGUAGGGGGCGAGCGUUGUCCGGAGUUACUGGGCGUAAAGGGCGCGUAGGCGGCUUAACAAGUCACUUGUGAAAUCUCCGGGCUUAACUCGGAACGGCCAAGUGAAACUGUCAAGCUAGAGUGCAGAAGGGGCAAUCGGAAUUCUUGGUGUAGCGGUGAAAUGCGUAGAUAUCAAGAGGAACACCUGAGGUGAAGACGGGUUGCUGGGCUGACACUGACGCUGAGGCGCGAAAGCCAGGGGAGCAAACGGG
rnacentral:rRNA from 1 species